GGGAGAUGGCUCAGUGGUUAAGAGCACUGGCUGCUCUUCCAGAGGACUCUGGGUUCAAUUCCCAGCACCCA
rnacentral:tRNA from 1 species